CAUUAAAGCACUGUCAGAAGAACUCCGGUUGCCGCGUCUUCCUUGCUGGCGAGGCGGGCGCGACAAGUGGUGCCGAAACCGGGAACCGAAACAACUUUGAAGCACCAGCGGAGACGACCUCGACAGAGAUAAAAGCAGAUUUGCAUUCACGCUUCCUUCCAUAAACCACGAACAGCCUGAUGCAAGAUAUCAAUGGCAGGUUUUGCCUCAGGGCAUGGCUAACAGUCCCACUAUGUGCCAACUUUAUGUGGCCUCAGCUAUCCAGCCGGUUAGGCAGAAGUUUUCAAAGG